CGGGAAACCGGAGCUAAUACCGGAUAAUAUAUUGAACCGCAUGGUUCAAUAGUGAAAGACGGUUUUGCUGUCACUUAUAGAUGGAUCCGCGCCGCAUUAGCUAGUUGGUAAGGUAACGGCUUACCAAGGCAACGAUGCGUAGCCGACCUGAGAGGGUGAUCGGCCACACUGGAACUGAGACACGGUCCAGACUCCUACGGGAGGCAGCAGCA
rnacentral:rRNA from 1 species